GGCUGUGAAGCAUGAGAGAAGCAGGUGAGAAACACUUCUGCAAUAAACUUGGUUUCUAUCCCUUGCAGCCUGGGCCGGUGUUGGCAUCACCCUGUGUUGCUCCUAAUUCCCAUGAGCACUCCGUGAGAAAUGCAGCUGUGGCCUGAGCAAGUCUUGAGGGAGCACACUGGUGUAGCACUGCCUGGAAAGCACCUUUGGUACUGGACAUGUUGGGGGACAAAACCAGUUAAAGUGAAAUUAUUACAGCACUCAGCUGAGAGGAACGGAUUGUUCUCAUAUGCCAACAUCACAUACAUAUUCACCUGAAGUGUGUCAGGAAAAAAUAUCCCCUGAAUAAGAACUGGAAUGAAUAUGAAUUGGAACAGAAUUGGAAAAAUGAGAUGUGGGAAGGCCAGAGAAGCUGCAAAAACCCUUGUAACAGCAGCUGCACUGCAUCAGACCAAGGGACUGUUUAUAACACUCCCAAAAUGAGACACCUGAGGAACAAAGAGGUGGGAGAAGGAGAGGCCUGUACACUGCUCAAGAGCACUUCUCUCAUGGAGCUUCCAACAAUUCCUGAUCUGGUACAUUUCCUCUGCUAGAUGGAGCCUGUGGGGCCUUUCUUUUCAGAGUACAUUCCCUCUUUCCCCCUUGAAUCCCUCGACUUUCUAACCAGCUUCUGGAAACUCAGGAGUUCCACACCUCUACUACAUCUUAUUUGGAACAUGACUCCUGCUAGCUUGGAUUCUUCCAGGAAGUCACAUCCUGUGCUUUGCUUUGACUUGAAGCCAAAUAGAGAAAGGGGGUGUAAAAAGAGAAGCUGAUGUAUUUCACUUGUGAAGAACUCAAUAUCUUCAGUGCUAGAAGCAGAUUUUCUUCUAAAUUAAAAGCUUUCUCUUGACAUACUUGCUUUUUUGCUAUAAAUGGGCUUCUAAUGAGCAGAAUCUUUUGUGAAGCAAAUGCUUCAUGAAUGAAGCAUUUGAAUCAAGUCUGCUUCUGGUAAGGUACCAGGUGUAUUUUUUGGAGCUGUGAUCAAGUUAAGUGCUUUUACUGAUAUGUGCACGUGACCCUUUUCUUUUUCCCCCACACUGGUAUUGCAGGCUUAGAAGUGACCUUGGCUUUGCCUGUCACACUUACUUCUUCCUUUCAAUGGAUGCUCUGUCUUUUUACAGAGAGCAGCUGUUGCUGGUGUUAGCAAUAAGGCCAAGAUGUUUUAUUCAUUUAUGAUUUUAGAGCCCUAAUAUGUGACCACAAUAGGCUCCUUCAUUGCACAUUAUUGAAAUGAAUGCCAAAAAUAAUCAGUUCUUUCAAUCAUAAAAUAGCAGCAGCAGCAUUUUGUCUGUGUUUAGGGAAAGAGACCUUGGAGGUAAUCUCUUUAUCUUACAUUUGUGGUUGAAAAUGUAGUGUGUAAUACAUUUGGACCUAAAUUUUAGUAAGGCUGGCUUAAAACCUAGAAGCAGUCCCUGAGUUUACUUCAGAAAUGAGACAGACUCCUACAUUGAAGAAAGAAACCAUGGCAAAGAAAGCAUCACAGAUUUCCUUUAGAAAAGGAAAAAAGCAGAAGCAAUACUAUAGAAGGUUCCCUAGGCAAAACAAUGUUCUUUCAAUGUAUCAUCAAGGAAAUGUAUUCUAUGGAGGCUGCAUCCAUGGGCCUGUGCUUGAAUGAAACUGUGUAUCAGCACAUAAUAUGAAUGUAGCACAUCUCUUGCAGGAAAUCAGUUUAUAACUUGUAUAUCUCAGGCCUCUACAGUAUAUUUUGACAGGAUUGCUCUUCUAGAAGAAUUUUUGUCCGCUUUGUGUUCCACCUCCACUUCUGUUUCAUUCCCUUGGUUUUCCUUCCUGUGCUCUGAUGGGACCAAAGAGGGUGUGGUAGUUUGGUCUCAGCACAGUAAUACAAAUCCAUUGCAAGCUCUCAAGCACUGUUUAUCAAUCUUAGUGAUCUCUGACAUGACAGGUAGUUUAGUUCUUUCCUUUAGAAGCAGUAGACUGCUUCAGAAAAAAAUUGACUUCCGCUUCAAAAAUUCCAUAGUUGCAAUUUAAUGCCUCCUUAAAAUCAGAUAAUAGCCAAAUUUCUAGGUUAGAAACCUUUAAUCUUCAUUCUUCAUCACUUUCUCUUGCUGUCUUCUCCCUCUGCUGAGUAUAAACACAGGGGAAGGAAGGCUCUUCUGACUGACCUCUCUCAUCCAUAUCAGCUAGCCCAGCAGUCCUGGUGCAGGCAGCUGCUGCCUUCUCCCUGUGAGCCCCCUGCACAGGCCUGGUAUCCUCAGCAGGGUGCUUCCCUAAGGUGUGCUUCUAAACACUUCAGGGGUUUGUUUAUCAAAUGGAGGUAAGGAGGAUUAGGAAAGCUGGUCAGAAGGAAUAGAGCAAAAACUAUUUCUUCAAAUGUCUGACAGACUAAAUUAGAGGAAACCAUAAACUGUAAAGGUUUCACUGUUGUGAACUAUUUCCUUGAAUAAGCUCCUGGGAGGUGGCAAAGCUGCACUUUGUCAGCACUAUCAGCCCUACACCACAAACUCUUCAGUCAUUUUCUUGACAAUAGAAGUCUGUUUUCUGUACAUGGCAGUACCCACACAGUGCCUUCCACACAGAAAUACCAAGUUCCAGUUCUGCACAGCAGUUGCUAUACAUGAAUAAGUGCCCAUUAUUUGUUUGUAUGGGCAGCCAGGACAAGUGGAAUGAGGAAUCUUCCCCCAAGAGGGCAAAAAGGGAAAAGCUUAAAUGUGCUCUUUAUUCAGGGCAUGGAAGUGUCUGUAGUUUCCACCACUGAUAACUGUUGUCAGCAGUAACUUCUGUUUGCUAGAUGCAAAAAUAGUUCUUUCACCAGCAGUGCCCAGCUGGGACUCUACUGGAGUGACCCCUGGCAAUGGCAGGCUGAUGGCUUAGAAGCAAAUAGUACAAAUUUGAAAACAAACCAAACACCCCCACCUCUCACUGCCCUGGCCAAACCCUCUUUUAGAAUGGAUAAAGGUCUGAUUAUGUCUUGGUCUGUGUUUAGUUUUAUUCCUCGAGGGAAGUUUUUGUUAUGUUACUCAACAAUGGCACGGUCACUAAUGUACCAUGUUUUAUAGAUAAGGACAUGCUUUGGUUUAAUAUUAAUGCCAGACAGGACAGUGUUCCUUGGCCACAGUGGAUCAAAAUAUCAUGGCUUCAAGGUGAGGGGGAGUUGGGGUUCUCUGGGGAGAAAGGGGCACUUCUGCUUAAGGAAGGGGGAGGAAUUCUGGGGCAUUCUGAAGAUGGUGAGGUGUCUCCUGAAGGCAGGAGGCUGGAGCUUAUGGCUGAGCUGGCAUAUCAAUGUGGAGAAUGCCUAGGCUCAAACACUUGAAAUGCUUCUUGAGAGACAAGGGGAAGGAAAUAUCUCUCUCAGUGUCAGUUCAUGUUAUUACCAUCUUAUACUGCUUUUGUAUUUGAGUAAAUGAAUAUUCAGAGUACUGGAUAGAAAGGAACUCUAUUCCUCCACUGCCUUUCAAUCCUUCAUGCCCUGCAUCCUGUUCUUAUUUUGUUGUCUAAGUCUUCAACAUGUUUAAAGUCUGAGCUUGUUACUAAACACAGAGCAGCCUGAAGAAUGAUUCCUUUCCCAGGGAAUUUGAACGUUUUAAACUUUUUUUUGUUCCAAAUCCUUCAACAGGAAUGUGGAAGCAUUGCUGUAAUACAGGAGCACUGGAGGACAGAUGCUUCAAGGCAGAUGUGGCAUUAUGUGCCUGGAAUGAUCAAUUACAAAGCCAACAUGCUCUGUGAGACUGAGCCUUGUUAGAUUCCUUUGAAAAUGCAUGAUGAAAAACACUGUAGAAAAACUCAAAAAGUUAAUAGAAAAAAAAAAAAAUAGAAAGUUUGGGGGAAAGAUUCAAAAGUUGUACAUAAGAAGCUGUCAUUUGUACUAAACAGGAGAUGAUUUGCACUAAAGACAGGGAUAACACUAUCUCAGGAAUACAACAGGAAGCAGUGGUCUCUGGUAUUUCUGUAUAACCAGAAGCAGUCAAGAAUGCAAGAAACCUAGGAAAUGCCUCUUGUCAUCUGGAAAUUCUCCAUAAAUGGAAAUAAACUAGAAAGUGACCCAGUGCUUAUAGAGCCUGUGUGAGGGGGAAGUGCUUUGUUACUCUUUGUCUCAGCAGAAUACUGUUCCACAAGAUUUUCUGCCAGACAUAGGCAUUUCCGCUUUCUAAAUAAAACCUGGGUGCACACUUGCCAUGGAUGAUGGACUCAGCAGAAAGGACAGUACUUAAAAUAGUAUGAAAACAGUGGCAGGAAAAAGAAGAAAAGGUUCUUAGGGAGGAGAUUAGGAUAUAACUAAGAAUAAGAUGAUGGCAACCUCUUUCUCACCUUCAGGGAACUUCAUAAAAGCAGCAUGUUCUGGAGGGUCUUUGUGAAUGUAAAAGGGUAAGAGUUAAAAUUCAUGGCAUCCAGCAAGCAGUGGAUCUUCCAGGAAAGGCAGAAAGAAGUGGAGGAGAGAGUGAAGAAGAGAUGGGAGGUGUUAUGGACAGGCUUACAAGGAAAACUUUAAAGUAACAAAAAAAGGAGGCCAGUUAUUGUUAACAACAUUCCCCAAAAGUUUAAUUUUUUUUUUUUUUUUGUUCAUAACAGGAGGGAUGACUCUUUGUUUAAUCAAGUGUACUGUUAGCACUCCAGUAUUAAUUGUGACUGUUGUGUGUUUACAAGCUUUGCUGGAUACAGGCAGAAGGGUGGAUUAGGAAGAAGUGCAGCUCCAGGUGCAGUUCUGUGCAAUGGAAUUCACCUGUAAAGGAACAGUCACUGCAGGAGUAACUCACAUGGGAGCUGGAGCUUUCCAUCUCAUGGGCUGCACAGCUGCUGUGCCAGGUCAGACAUUUCAGUGGGAUGGGAGAAGCAGAAGUACAGAACUUUCAUACACAAUACACUUAUUUCAUGUGAGACAAGUGCACAGCCUGUUGAUUUCAAUGUUCCAUAUCUUUUCCCACUCUUGGAGAAGAAGGCCAAUUCCAACACUCUCUCUAGAUUAGCAAAUUCUCUUCAUCUCCUUCUAAAAAGCUUUCCUGAGACCUUUCCCACCAGGAGACCCAAGAGCCCCCUGUCUCCAUGGCUCUCUCCUGGCAGCUCCAUCACUGUGAUUACUCAAGAGCACUGCACUCCACUCCUGGGCAUAGGUGUGGUGACUUCCUAGGCUUUUCCCUCUGGGCUGGUGUGUUCCCACACCCUCUUCUUUAACAGAGCAGGGUGGUAUUUAGCUUUUUGUUUCCCUUACGCCUUCUAUAUGCAUCAUAUUAUGGAAACAUUUUCAGAGAGACGGUGCAGAGAAUAUUAUGGAGCUUGUUGUUUAGGUUUUUUCCUGAUUUCUCCCUUAUUGCAUUGUUUCCUGUCAAAAUUUCUUUCUAGGGGGAAAGUACUCUUUAAAAAUAUCUUUUAAAAAUAUCUAAGUCUUUGGGGGUGUUACUGAGCAGCAUCUGGAUCUAUUUGUUUGGUAAUCUGCUGAAGUGCUUUGUGAAGCAAAAACUGAGUCACGUAUGAUUUAUAAUGACCAGCUUUGUCAGACUGAAUAAAUAUGAAUCCUUGGG